GCACUGUACCAUGUGGACAAUCUCUCUUGCUUUGGUGUCUCUCUUUCUCUAAUGAAAAAAAGGAGGAGGAGAAAGACAAGAAGAAAAGAGAAAGGAGAAAAAGGAAAGAAAAAGAUGUGGCCUAAACUACAGAACUGCACUUGAAAAAAAAAAAGAUGAAGAGAACUGUGACAAGUUGAAUUGUUCAUUUUCCAAAGCCCUGAGAAUUAAUAAGAACUCUUCGCACUGGAGGUGAAAGCGCAUUGCUUGCUGUCCAAACAUAACUUCAGGCAGGAAGAAAAAAAAAAUCCAACAGCUGACUGAGGUAGGUGGGGUCCUUGAAGCACAGGAAGAUGGGAGAUAACCGUCUGUCAAGAGAAACUGCUUAGUCUCUGCAAGAGCAAAGGAGGAAUUAGAGCAGGCAGGAAGAGUUCACUUACUAGGAAAUUAGAAGCGAUGGCGGUUCCAGAGAACAGGCAUGCUUCUGAAGGAUCUUUGAGAAGCCUGUGGAAACGAAAGGCAAUGCUGAGUUUCUGAAUUGCACUCAAACUCAGUGACUUGCCAGAAGAUUCACUGGCCUUCAGUCCUUCCUCUUGGGGCCGUGGGUGACAACAGAGAAACU